CGGCGUGCCUAACACAUGCAAGUCGUACGAGAAAGUCCCGUUCGCGGGAUGAGUAAAGUGGCGGCACGGGUGAGUAAUGCGUGGAUAAUCUGCCCUUUAGUUGGGAAUAACGUGCCGAAAGGUGCGCUAAUACCCGAUAAUACUGCACAACUACUGUUGUGUAGUCAAAGAAGGCCUCUGUUUACAAGCUUUUGCUGAAGGAUGAGUCCGCGUACCAUUAGCUGGUUGGUGGGGUAAUGGCCUACCAAGGCUACGAUGGUUAGCUGGUCUGAGAGGAUGAUCAGCCACACUGGAACUGAGACACGGUCCAGACUCCUACGGGAGGCAGCAGUGAGGAAUAUUGCGCAAUGGGGGCAACCCUGACGCAGCAACGCCGCGUGAGUGAGGAAGGUUUUCGGACCGUAAAGCUCUGUCGAGCGGGAAGAAAUGCAUGGUGGCUAAUAUCCAUCAUGCUUGACGGUACCGCUAAAGGAAGCACCGGCUAACUCCGUG
rnacentral:rRNA from 1 species